UGUUAAAAAAUUUAUCCAUUUUUACUGUUAAAAACUUUCAUGGCUAACAAAAUAACCAAAUAGUUACACGUGGCACGCCACAUAUACCUCAUUUUGAGGUAUAAGGACUAGUUUUAACAAUAGAAAUGGAUAGACUUUUUAACU
rfam:Gossypium hirsutum cultivar TM-1 unplaced genomic scaffold scaffold666.1, whole genome shotgun sequence